AUUGCUGCGAGCCCCAUUCUUUUCCUUUGUGCUUCAAAUUCUUUCAUUGCCAUAUACAUCUUCCGCCACUGUAUCUUCCAUGGAGUGAAUUUCUUUGUAGCCGCAUAUUUCCUUGACGUGUAGCUAUGUUGAGAAAGUGAGAGGCAACACAGUGUUUCCCUUUAAGUCGGUUGGUGUAGCAAUUAAAGAGGGUGGUACACUAUAGUUGUAUAGUGGCAAUGAUCUGCGAGACCGGAUUUCUUGGUUCGGAUUGUCUUGUGUCGGUACUAGAUUUGGGAAGAACUGAUGUAGUUCUAGCAUUGGGGCUUCAAUCUCUUCAUCAUUUUGGCUUGUAUGUUCUCCAAGGCUUGUAAGUUCUCCAAUGUGUUGGUGUCCCAAAUAUUUAUCUGUUAUGUUUCUUAUUAUUAUUAUUAUUAUUGUUAUUGGUAUUAUUGUUUGUCCAAUAUUUAUUGCUAUAUAUUCAAUGUCAAUUCAUAUGCAGCAUACGGUUUUUGUGAUUUUCUCUUUGUUCUACUAGGGUUUUUGUGAUGCUAGGUUUUCCAGUUGUUGCACCCUAUGUGCGGCUGCAUGGUAGCCCCUAAAAGAGGAGAUGGGCAGUAGUCCUUCGCAGACCUUGUCGCUGUAGUGCCUCAGUCAAUCCCGAAAGCUGAAUUAGCGCCUCGUGCUCCCAAGGUUUUGGACGGGGAGAUAUACUUCCAGUUCUCCAAUGAUAAAAUCAACCAAUCAACAGCCCAUUUCUGAUUUUCAAUAGUCCUUAAAUUAUUACGGCAGCACCCCUCCCUAGACACCAUUCACGCCUUCAUUCACAGCCGCUGAAGACUGUCCUUGACUCUAGUUGUCUCGGCCAUGAGGCAUCCACUUAAUGUGUUCUUGCAUUUUGCUUCCAAACUUGAUAUUGUUAAAGCUCUACAAAGAGAAAAUUGUGAUGAUAACGGCAUCCCCUACCAUGCUUUCCAUUGGACACCUGAUUUUCUAGAGGAUACAAAGCCUUCCCAUGUUCCUGUGUGGAUUUCCUUGCCAGGUUUGCCUCUCAACUAUUAUCAAGAAGCUUUUUUGACAAUUUUUAUAGACCCUAUAGGACGAUUUAUUCGUCAAGACAAUCCAACUCAAUGUGCUACUCGGACCGACUAUGCUAGAUUAUGUAUGGAAGUGGAUGCUGCUAAGGAACCUCUUUCGUAUUUUUGGAUUGGUCCCCCAGGUUUGGACACUAGCCAAAGGCAAGAAAAUAUUUAUAAGACUUUACCUGCAUAUUGCUAUAAAUGCAGGAUGCAAGGUCAUAAUACUAAAACUUGCAAGGCCAAAAAGACCUAAAGAAACAGAAGCAAUGGGUGAAAAUAAAGUGCAAUCUGAUGGUGGUAUCAAUAUUGAGGUUGCAGAAGGCGACUCUGAAAGAAAUGAUGCUGAGAAAAAAAAUAGUAUCCUCCGAUGGAAAUAUAGUUUUGGAUAUUGCUUGCUCGUUGUCUCGAGUGCAAGUCGAAAAAGUGGCCAAUGAAUUAAAUCCUGAAGUGGAAAUCAGUGAUAUUUUUUGAGAAACAGAAUUGCUUAUGGCUAAUACCAAGACUCGUGUUGGUAUCGUGAAACUUGCAUAUAAAUUUAAUGAGAUGCCAACAGAAAAAUCAUCUAAGUUGCUUCUAGAGAUUGCAGGACAAUCUGACAUGCCGGAUGGUAAUCUGGAGAUUUAUUCUAAUAUUUCUGACUAGGAAAUUGACCACCACAAUAUGUCCACUGCAGGUCAAGAAAACUGAAUUAGUGAGGAUACUUGAAGCUUACAGGAUGAUGAAUUUUUGUUAGAGGAUUGUACCUUGGAACUGGAACAUGAUUUAUUACCUGAGACUCUCCCCCAGGAAAAAGAGUAUCAUAUGGAUUCAGAGGAUGCAGUGACAAAGAAAAAAAUAUAAUAAGAAAUUUGUGAAGAUCAGGAGCUCUGCUUGGGUUGUAGCCCGAGUCCCUUCUUCUUCUCAAUGAGUGGACCUAUUUGUGAAUGGAAUAUCAGGUGUCUUGGUACGUCCCGGGUUAGAUUAAAAAAUUUGAGUGCUAAACUUACACCAAAGGUUAUGGCUUUGUUUGAACCAUUUCAAGAGUUUUCGAGAGCACAUGAGUUGAUGAGAUCCUUGCAUAUGACUCAAGCCAUUUCUAACGAGGAUGUUGGUGGUAAAAUCUAGAUUUUUUGGAAUGAUUCGAUUAAUAUUCAUAUUGUUCGUCAAUGUAUUCAAUUCAUAAUGCUUCAAAUAAAUAAGGGAGGUUCCCAGUUCUUCUGCACUUUUGUGUAUGCAAAGUGUAAUAUGUAUGAUCAGCAAAGUUUGUGGUCAGAGCUCAAUUCUUAUUCUAUGGGUAUGAAUCCGUGUUUAUUUUUUAGGGAUUUUAAUAUGGGUACUAAAGGAAAUGCUUUUACUUGGUGUAAUGGACAAUCAGGCUUGGCCCAUUCUUGGGCAAAACUUGAUCGUGCUUUGAUGGAUUCUACUUUGAUGGCCAGGAUUCCUAAUGCAAUUUGUUCACAUCUUUCAAGGUCCA